UGAACUUCCCCUUUAAGCUUUUGCAAGUGUUUACAGCUGGAGCCUAUCCCAGCUGACUUUGGGCGUUUGCUGGGGUACACCCACAGCACCAGUCACCAGCCAAUCGCAACAGGGCCAACCGCCCAAACCUUCUUUCACACCUGAAACCCAGUUUUCUAAUAACCCAGGAAAGUUGUUUUGCAAUGUUUGUCUAUUUUGACCGUAAUUGGAUCGGUGGACGACGCAAUGUGAUGGAUCUUGGCAGAGGUCGAAGCUCUACUGAUUGCUGUCCUCCUGGACUCUCUCAUCAUGGACCUGGCCAGUGAUCGACUAAUGAGUUCCAUAUGCGGCGACGACGUCAGGUGUUCCGUGAAAGGCAUCGUCGGAUAAUAUCAACUCAGCCUCGGGGUUUGUUUCUUGUUUUCCUUCACCCCACCCCUUAUUUUAAUUAAACAACAGCUUGUCCUCAUCAGUAGGGCGACUUUCCAAGACAACAUAUGAUUGGCUAGAGAAGCAACAGGUCCAAUCGUCUGCUACGGAUAAGCAGGCCAACCAAAACACACACACACACACACACACUACUAUGGAUGUGUGAGUAUUCGACAAAGCACAUCAUGCGAGUAAAAAAAAAAAAAGCGAUGCUAAAGCAGAAC